CCCAUGUUAUGGGGUCAGAGCAUCGUUAUGUUAUGGGGUCGGAGCACCCAUUGGUUAUGGGGUCAGAGCGUCCAUUGGUUAUGGGGUCAGAUUGUCCCCAUGUUAUGGGGUCGGAGCUCCCAUUGGUUGUGGGGUCAGAACAUCCAUUGGUUAUGGGGUCAGAGCACCCAUUGGUUAUGGGGUCAGAUUGUCCCCAUGUUAUGGGGCCAGAGCGUCCUCUGGUUAUGGGGUCAGAGCAUCGUUAUGUUAUGGGGUCGGAGCACCCAUUGGUUAUGGGGUCAGAUUGUCCCCAUGUUAUGGGGUCAGAGCAUCAUUAUGUUAUAGGGUCAGAGCGCCCAUUGGUUAUGGGGUCAGAUCCCUCAUUGGUUAUGGGGUUGGAGCACCCCUUGGUUAUGGGGUCAGAUUGUUCCCAUGUUAUGGGGUCAGAGCAUCUCUAUGUUAUGGGGUCAGAGCGCCCAUUGGUUAUGGGGUCGGAGCUCCCAUUGGUUAUGGGCGCUGCACUCCCAUUGGUUAUGGGCUCAGCGUUGCUGCACUCCCAUUGGCUCAGCGCAGUGCGCGGCGCUCCCCG
rnacentral:lncRNA from 1 species